GCGUAAAGCGUCCGCAGGUGGCGAUUCAAGUCUGCUGUUAAAGACAGAAGCUUAACUUCUGAUCAGCAGUGGAAACUGGAUAGCUAGAGUAUGGUAGGGGUUGAGGGAAUUCCCAGUGUAGCGGUGAAAUGCGUAGAUAUUGGGAAGAACACCAGUGGCGAAGGCGCUCAACUGGGCCAUAACUGACGCUCAGGGACGAAAGCUAGGGGAGCGAAAGGGAUUAGAUACCCCUGUAGUCCUAGCUGUAAACGAUGAACACUAGGCGUUGCUUGUAUCGACCCGAGCAGUGCCGUAGCCAACGCGUUAAGUGUUCCGCCUGGGGAGUACGCACGCAAGUGUGAAACUCAAAGGAAUUGACGGGGGCCCGCACAAGCGGUGGAGUAUGUGGUUUAAUUCGAUGCAACGCGAAGAACCUUACCAGGACUUGACAUCUCGAGAAGGAAGCCUAAUCGCUUCUGUGCCUUCGGGAACUCGAAGACAGGUGGUGCAUGGCUGUCGUCAGCUCGUGUCGUGAGAUGUUGGGUUAAGUCCCGCAACGAGCGCAACCCUCGUUCUUAGUUGCCAGCAUUAAGUUGGGCACUUUAGGAAGACUGCCGGUGACAAACCGGAGGAAGGUGGGGAUGACGUCAAGUCAGCAUGCCCCUUACGUCCUGGGCUACACACGUACUACAAUGGUUGGGACAAAGGGCAGCGAGCGAGCGAUCGCCAGCGAAUCUCAUCAAACCCAGCCUCAGUUCAGAUUGCAGGCUGCAACUCGCCUGCAUGAGGGAGGAAUCG
rnacentral:rRNA from 1 species